rnacentral:lncRNA from 1 species
CAAAGUUUUCUUUGUUUGGUAAUAUUUAACAUAGCGUAGACGGGUGGCAAAAGGGUUUUGUAAUGUGUAUGGUGGCCGUGCCGUAUAUUUUCAAAAUAUCUGAUGUUUGCAUUUUAUAUAUCAAAUUGAAUACAUUUUUCAGAAGGUAUUAUAGUUUUCCCCUCGUUUACAUCCUUCUACAUGUUCUGCAUAAUUUGCAUUGCAUCACAAUUUCAAAUAUAGCGGCUAGAC